rnacentral:sRNA from 1 species
CCGACAGCGCUGGAGAGCAGAGGCCUCUCCCUCCAGAAAGAAGGAGCCUGGGCAAGGCACAACUUCCCCUCUGCCAUAUAUACAGCUCACUGCCAAAAUAGCCCCAUCCUUGACCUGGAGAAAUCCCCUGUCCCGGUGGGAGGAGAUUUCAGUCUCCGUGACCCACUCAGUCCUUGGCAGGA